rnacentral:miRNA from 1 species
GCAGACACAUUCCAGCCAAUCAGCAGCAGACCCUCCCUCCCAGACCCUCCCACCUCUUGGACAGCAUCCAUUUUACAUUCAUUGUGAAGCUGCAUUCUUAGUGAGCUGUCCAGGAGGUGGGAGGGUCUGGGAGGGAGGGUCUGCUGCUGAUUGGCUGGAAUGUGUCUG